AUGUACCUGCGGUGUGCAGUCCACGACACGCCGCGGCAAUGGCGCAAGUGGCUAGCGGCGGCGGAGUUCUGGUACAAUUCGGCACAUCACGCCUCCCUGAAUUGCUCUCCCUUCAAGGCGCUGUACGGCAGAGAGGCCAACCUGGGGGGUUUACCACACCUGAGCGCCGCGCUCCCCAGCGACGCGGCGUCCGGUGACCUGGACUGGACUGCACACACGGACCUGCUGCGCGCACAGCUGGCGCGUGCCCAAGCUCGCUUCAAGAAACAAGCGGAUCGACACCGAGCAGAACGAGCCUUCGACGUUGGCGAACAAGUCCUUCUCAAGCUGCAGCCAUAUGCACAGUCCUUUGUCGCUAAUCGCCCCUGCAAGAAGCUCGCCUACAAGUUCUUCGGUCCCUUCCUAGUGAUAGAACGCAUUGGCACGCUGGCGUAUCGACUACAACUUCCCCCAAACAGCAGCAUCCACCCGGUAUUCCACGUCUCUCAAUUGAAGUCGUUUACUCCUGACUAUACUCCGGUGUUCUCUGAACUGCCACGAGUACCGGACCUCGCCGAAGAGCAAACCGAACCAGUGGCAAUUCUACAACGGCGCAUGAUGAAGAAAGGGGAUGCCCCGGUGGUGCAACUGCAAGUUCAAUGGGCAAACAUGCCACCAUCGGCUACAACCUGGGAAGACUACGACAUCCUUCGUCAUCGGUACCCAUCCGCUUGCAUCUGGGAAGAGUCUGCAUAG
rnacentral:rRNA from 1 species